rnacentral:misc_RNA from 1 species
GAUGAAGAACGAAGCGAAAUGCGAUAAGUAAUGUGAAUUGCAGAAUUCAGUGAAUCAUCGAAUCUUUGAACGCACCUUGCGCCCUUUGGCUAUUCCGAAGGGCAUGCCUGUUUGAGUAUCAUGAACACCUCAACUCUCAUGGAUUGCCAUGAUGAGCUUGGACUUUUGGGGGUCUUGCUGGCCUGUGGUCAGCUCCUCUCAAAUGAAUUAGCCUGCCAGUGUUUGGUGGCAUCACAGGUGUGAUAACUAUCUACGCUUGUGGUUAUCCACCAGGUAACCCUCAGUGAUGAAGGUUCGCUGGGGCUCAUAAACGUCUCUCCUCAGUGAGGACAGCUCUUUGAACGUUUGAUCUCAAAUCAGGUAGGACUACCCGCUGAACUUAAGCAUAUCAAUAAGCGGAGGA